AUCAGCUUGGCUUACCAUUGAAAUCCUUCCUGACCUUAAACACAAAAAAGAAGCUUACAAGUAGUGGAAGAUUGGACAAAUGACCAGGGAGGAGUAUAAAAAUAUUGUUUGGGCAUGCAGGAGUAAAAUCAUGAAGGCCAAAUCACACUUGGAGUUGCAGCUAGCAAGAGAUGUUAAGAGUAACAAGAAGGGAAAGUUGGACUAAAUGACU